CAAGCGUUAUCCGGAUUUAUUGGGUUUAAAGGGUGCGUAGGCGGUUUGAUAAGUUAGAGGUGAAAUCCCGGGGCUUAACUCCGGAACUGCCUCUAAUACUGUUAGACUAGAGAGUAGUUGCGGUAGGCGGAAUGUAUGGUGUAGCGGUGAAAUGCUUAGAGAUCAUACAGAACACCGAUUGCGAAGGCAGCUUACCAAACUAUAUCUGACGUUGAGGCACGAAAGCGUGGGGAGCAAACAGGAUUAGAUACCCUGGUAGUCCACGCAGUAAACGAUGAUAACUCGUUGUCGGCGAUACACAGUCGGUGACUAAGCGAAAGCGAUAAGUUAUCCACCUGGGGAGUACGUUCGCAAGAAUGAAACUCAAAGGAAUUGACGGGGGCCCGCACAAGCGGAGGAACAUGUGGUUUAAUUCGAUGAUACGCGAGGAACCUUACCCGGGCUUGAAAGUUACUGACGAUUCUGGAAACAGGAUUUCCCUUUGGGGCAGGAAACUAGGUGCUGCAUGGUUGUCGUCAGCUCGUGCCGUGAGGUGUCGGGUUAAGUCCCAUAACGAGCGCAACCCCUACCGUUAGUUGCCAUCAGGUCAAGCUGGGCACUCUGGCGGGACUGCCGGUGUAAGCCGAGAGGAAGGUGGGGAUGACGUCAAAUCAGCACGGCCCUUACGUCCGGGGCUACACACGUGUUACAAUGGUAGGUACAGAGGGUCGCUACCCCGCGAGGGGAUGCCAAUCUCGAAAGCCUAUCUCAGUUCGGAUUGGAGGCUGAAACCCGCCUCCAUGAAGUUGGAUUCGCUAGUAAUCGCGCAUCAGCCAUGGCGCGGUGAAUACGUUCCCGGGCC
rnacentral:rRNA from 1 species